UAGGGAAUCUUCCACAAUGGACGAAAGUCUGAUGGAGCAACGCCGCGUAAGUGAAGAAGGGUUUCGGCUCGUAAAACUCUGUUGUUAAAGAAGAACAUAUCUGAGAGUAACUGUUCAGGUAUUGACGGUAUUUAACCAGAAAGCCACGGCUAACUACGUGCCAC
rnacentral:rRNA from 1 species